CAAGGACACAUUUCAGGUGCGUCGUGCUGAGGCCUGAGCAGAUCCCGCCCCACACGCCGGGGUCCUCACUGCUGGGACCCGGGGGUUUCCUGAGCUGGACCCAGAGAGAUGCCACCGUUGAGCAGCCCAGACGAAGGACACCCCCCCGGAAGCUGGAGCAGGGGAGGAUCGGACCGUCCUCUGGAGCCUCCGGAGGGAGCGCGUCCCCACCGACACCUGGACCGCGGCCCAGGGACGCCGGGUUUGGACUCCAGGCCUCCAGAACCGGGAGAGAAGAAACUUCUGCUGUUUUCAGUGGUGCGCGAGGGGCCGUACAUCCCAGCGGCCCCAGGAGACCAACUCGGGGAGGCCUGGCCCCGGGGUCCUGCCCUGCAGAGGACAGUGACGGGCUGCAUGGGGUGGACGCUGAACCGAG